rnacentral:rRNA from 1 species
AACGAACGCUGGCGGCAGGCUUAACACAUGCAAGUCGAGCGCCCCGCAAGGGGAGCGGCAGACGGGUGAGUAACGCGUGGGAAUCUACCCAUCUCUACGGAAUAACGCAUGGAAACGUGUGCUAAUACCGUAUACGUCCCUCGGGAGAAAGAUUUAUCGGAGGUGGAUGAGCCCGCGUUGGAUUAGCUAGUUGGUGGGGUAAAGGCCUACCAAGGCGACGAUCCAUAGCUGGUCUGAGAGGAUAAUCAGCCACACUGGGACUGAGACACAGCCCAGACUCCUACGGGAGGCAGCAGUGGGGAAUAUUGGACAAUGGGCGCAAGCCUGAUCCAGCCAUGCCGCGUGAGUGAUGAAGGCCCUAGGGUUGUAAAGCUCUUUCACCGGUGAAGAUAAUGACGGUAACCGGAGAAGAAGCCCCGGCUAACUUCGUGCCAGCCGCCGCAGUAAUAC